UACGUAGGGUGCAAGCGUUGUCCGGAAUUAUUGGGCGUAAAGAGCUCGUAGGCGGUUUUGUUGCGUCGGCUGUGAAAAUCCCGAGGCUCAACCUCGGGUCUGUCAGUCGAUACGAGCAAACUAGAGUGUUGCAGGGGAGACUGGAAUUCCUGGUGUAGCGGUGAAAUGCGCAGAUAUCAGGAAGAACACCUAUGGCGAAGGCAGCUCUCUGGGACGGUACUGGACGCUGAGGAGCGAAAGCGUGGGGAGCAAACAGG
rnacentral:rRNA from 1 species